CCUACGGGUGGCAGCAGUGAGGAAUAUUGGUCAAUGGGCGCGAGCCUGAACCAGCCAAGUAGCGUGAAGGAUGACUGCCCUACGGGUUGUAAACUUCUUUUAUAAAGGAAUAAAGUGAGGCACGUGUGCCUUUUUGUAUGUACUUUAUGAAUAAGGAUCGGCUAACUACGUGCCAGCAGCCGCGGUAAUACGGUGGAUCCGAGCGUUAUGCGGAUUUAUUGGGUUUAAAGGGAGCGUAGAUGGGUUGUUAAGUCAGUUGUGAAAGUUUGCGGCUCAACCGUAAAAUUGCAAUUGAUACUGGCAGUCUUGAGUACAGUUGAGGUAGGCGGAAUUCGUGGUGUAGCGGUGAAAUGCUUAGAGAUCACGAAGAACUCCGAUGGCGAAGGCAGCUUACUAAACUGCCACUGACAUUGAUGCUCGAAAGUGUGGGGAGCAAACAGGAUUAGAUACCCCUGUAGUC
rnacentral:rRNA from 1 species